rnacentral:rRNA from 1 species
GAUCAUGGCUCAGAUUGAACGCUGGCGGCAUGCCUUACACAUGCAAGUCGAACGGUAACGGGCCUUCGGCGCCGACGAGUGGCGAACGGGUGAGUAAUGCAUCGGAACGUGCCCAGUAGUGGGGGAUAGCCCGGCGAAAGCCGGAUUAAUACCGCAUGAGACCUGAGGGUGAAAGCGGGGGAUCGCAAGACCUCGCGCUACUGGAGCGGCCGAUGUCAGAUUAGCUAGUUGGUGGGGUAAA